UCUGUGUAGGUCUCUCUCCAUCACAUUAGACAAGUAAUAAAUCUCUGAAGAUGUCUAGCAGCUAUUAAAGAAUUUAAAUCUCAUUUAUGCUUUUCUAAUAUUUUCUUCCUAACUUCACUAGUGACACACUGCUCCUGCCCCCUACUAGAUGGGUUGAUUCUGGUGCCUACAGUGAAAUGAUUCCGCAUGCUGACUGGAUUGAGUCUCCUGUGUGCUGGGCCUGUGACCACACCAGCAGGCCAGGGGCCAGGGUAACAGGGGCUGAAGGGCACCUGUCAGUAGGACCAGUGACUUCCAAGAGAGCAGGCAUUGGUGGACAAGCCAGAGGAGCAGAGAGGAACUGCCACAGAGACCUGGAGCUAGAAGUGGACACUUGGCUCUGCUAGAGUGAGAAGGGGAUUAUGCAGUGAGACACCAGCAGGUGGGAGAGAGGCCUCCCCACAGCUGUGAGGUCACCAACAUCCUGGUUCCCUUCAGCACAAGCAAAAGUCAGCACGAGAGGAAAUUGGACAAUUCCAACAGGAAGCAUAUGGAAACUGGAGGCCAGGAAGUGGAGUCUUGCAUGGAGUUGAAGAAAACAGUAAGUGCUCCCAAAUUCAAUCCUUGACAUCACAUGUGCCAGAGUAGUGGCCUGGGCAGAUUUUUCUCUCUCACACCUAACAGCACAGGGCAACUGCUGUCCAGGAGGUUAAGCCUUGGCCGGAGAUGGAGAGAACCAUAAGUGUUCUCAAGGUAGAUCUAGGAUAGUACAUGUACCAGAGAGAUGAUCUGGGUAGGUCUCUCUCCAUCCUAGGUGAGGGAAAUAAUAAGUGUUUGAAGAUGAGUGGCAGCUAUUAAAGAAUUUGAAUCUCA